rnacentral:misc_RNA from 1 species
CUAAGAAUAAGGGGAUGAGGACGACUUUACUCUGUUAUGUGAACGAAGAUUUGCCACUUCCAUAUAUACAGUAAACUCGACAAUGGAAAAUUCUCCUUCUUUCAAGGUUGGAUUUUUCUUAAUCAAUAAUUUACAGUCACUGUUAAUUGUUUGUCAUUGCAUUCAUUAGCUUUGCUCUUAGAAAGUAUGCUUCUUUUUCUGUUCUUGUAAGCUUGUUUUUGAAGCACUUUCCUACGUGAGAUCAGAUAGGUGGAUUUGAAUUCUAUAAUGAUCGAUUUUCAAACCUCUUUUUCGUGCAGUUUAAACCUUUAAAUGCUUGAGAUUGAAAGGAUGUUUAAAUGCGUUACAUUCAAUGGUAGUCGCUUUGUUUUGACACUUAAGGUGUUUGUUCUAUUGCUUGAAUGAAUACAUUACCAAGCUUUAGUAUUUUUAUAGGGGCAGUUGGGAUACAAUAUAGUUUAAGCACUGCAUCAAAUGGUCUAAUCUAUCUCCUGCGGACGACCUAUUAGGAUUCGGAUUCUUUCCAAAACUAGAUGAAGCUUAUACAAUACUCAAAGAGUACAGUACACUAUUUAUCUAUGUCAUCUGAAAGAGUGAAACCAUGCUUCAUAUGCUUUCAUGAUUUUUAUACUAGGAUAACUGCAUAAAAUGCAGCUAGGAUUUUAUCUCGAUCUAAAGCUCUUAUAUAUGACAAGCUAUUGCUUCAAUUCUCAGUAAAAAGCAAACAAGCGAAGAGUCCCAGUUUAAAAGUCUACACCUAACCUCCAAUAAUGCUUGUUAUUCUUCCACAUAUGUGGUAUUUCUUAUUUGUCUCCUUGUAUGUACUCUAACCAAGUAGAAGUCUAGCUUCCAGCAUCCUUUGUCUGUUAACCCUGGCAAUAAAAUCAUCAGCCCUUUUCUUCAACUCCUCAAUAGGCAAACAAAACUCUUCUCCAUCUAAAUUUUCUCUUUCAUUUUCCACUUUUAAUUUUCUCUCAUCCCAAACUUUCACUUCCAUUUUUCCUCCAUCAAAAGUCUUGCUAGCAUUUUCUUUAAACAAUAUCUUCUCUUCUCUGUCUUUCUUCUCCUGAAGGGUAGAAGAGGUUUGGAGGCCUCUUUUUUGGUUAAUAUACUCAUUAUAGUACACAUCACUAGCUGCUGGAAGAGAGUUUGAAGCAAAGAAUUUGGAUUCUCCAAUGAGGAGAAUGAUGAUGAGGUUGCCAAUUAUGAAAAUAAACUUGGGACUGAGGAAAACAGAACUGAAUUUUGGAAGAGAGACAAAGAGAGAGAGCUUGGUGGAAGAAAAUAGGGAGGGGAACCAAAAGGGGCUAGAACAGAAAAGACUGCAAGUUAACAGUGUCACAUACCGGAAAAAAUUGUGAAGGACUUGAUGCAUCUUUGACCUCUUAAUUGCGUGUACCUUUCGGAGUUGGAUCAGAUCCAUUUUAGUUGUAUAUUUGAUUUUGAGGAGGUGUAAGCAGGAGUUUGAGAUCUGGUUUGUAAUUUCACUUUAUCCUUUGGAGAAUGGAUUAGAGGCAAUUCUGAGGAAGGAGAUCAGAGGCUAAUUUCAAAGAAGAAGAUCAGAGAAUUGCCAUCUGACUGAGCAAAAGGCAUUGUAGACACUGGAUUAUAUAGUGUAGGAAAAGAGGUUAAUUUGGUAAUAUUUAUCCAUUCCCAUUGCCACCGUUUAAUUUGGUAAUAUUUAUCCAUUCCCAUUGCCACCGU